UUCCCGUUGGUUUUCCACCACUUUUUGAUGGUUUCAAGACCUUCCCGUUGGUUUUCCACCACUUUUUGAUGGUUUCAAGACCUUCCCGUUGGUUUUCCACCACUUUUUGAUGGUUUCAAGACCUUCCCGUUGGUUUUCCACCACUUUUUGAUGUUUCCAAGACCUUCCCGUUGGUUUUCCACCACUUUUUGAUGGUUUCAAGACCUUCCCGUUGGGUUUCCGUCAGUUUUUGUUGGUUUUAAGCCAUUUUUUCAUGGAUUCAAGACCUUCCCAUUGGGUUCCACUCAUUUUUUAUGGUUUCAAACCAAUUUUUGAUGGUUUCAAACCCUUCCCGUUGGGUUUCCACCAUCCUUUGGUGCUUCCAGGACCUUCCCAUUGGGUUUCCAUCAGUUUUCGUCAUUUUUAAGCCAUUUUUUGAUGGUUUCAAGACCUUCCCAUUGGGUUUCCACUCAUUUUUGAUGGUUUCCAGUCAAUUUUUGAUGGUUUCAAACCCUUCCCAUUGGGUUUCCACCAUCCUUUGAUGCUUCCAAGACCUUCCCGUUGAGUUUCCAUCAGUUUUUGUCGGUUUUAAGCCAUUUUUUGAGGGUUUCAAGACCUUCCCGUUGGUUUCCCACCAUCUUUUCAUGGAUUCAAGACCUUCCCCUUGGCUUUCCACCCCUUUUUGAUGGUUUCAAGACCUUCCCCUUGGGUUUGAACCCCUUUUUGACGGUUUCAAACCAAUUUUUGAGGGUUUCAAGCCACUCCCAUCGGGUCUCCCACCAUUUUUGGGUCACUUUUAGGCCAUUUUUUGCCACUUUCGAGCCAUUUCUUGAUGGUUUCAAGCCAUUCCCGUUGGGUUCCCAACAUUUUUUUGUCACUUUUAAUCCAUUUUUUGACAAUUUCAUUGGUUUCCCACCAUUUUUUGUCACUUUUAGGCCAUUUAUUGACAAUUUCAAGCCAUUCCCAUUGGGUUUCCACCAUGUUAUGUUGGUUUUAGGUUAUUUUUCAAUUGUUUGAAAACAUUCCCGUUGGUUUCCCACCAAUUUCUGUCGCUUUUAGGCCAUUUUUUCCUGGUCUCAACCUACUUUUUGAUGCUUUCCCACCAUUUUUUGUCACUUUUGAGCCAUUUAUUGACAAUUUCAAGCCAUUCCCAUUGGGUUC
rnacentral:lncRNA from 1 species